UUGACUCUUGGACUCCACCUCCUUGUCUUUGCUCUUUUUUGGCAGGAACAUGACUGGCAGAAGGGAAUAACAGGGAUACAUGCUUCAUGGACAUGGUGGGCUGGGUGCUCGGCUCAGCGCCCCCCAGUGGCAGCCGGCUGACCUGCAGCGAGCGGAAAUUGCACUUCAGAGUGUUUUUGGAGGAGGAGUCCCGCUUCUCCAUGUCUUUCUUCCUUUCUGUUGGAGCCACCCAGUAGUCCACCUGAAGCCCCAUCAGCUCCGCCUGCCCUACAGAACUACAGACAACAGGUUUUCUACUUCUAACUGGACAAAUAACAGACAGACAUGGAUGGCCAGAAGCACGUGGAGAUCAUGGAGAGGAAACAGCAGGGAGGAAGGAACAGAAGAGGAGGG